rnacentral:rRNA from 1 species
UAGGGAAUCUUCGGCAAUGGGGGCAACCCUGACCGAGCAACGCCGCGUGAGUGAAGAAGGUUUUCGGAUCGUAAAGCUCUGUUGUAAGAGAAGAACGUGUGUGAGAGUGGAAAGUUCACACAGUGACGGUAACUUACCAGAAAGGGACGGCUAACUACGUGCCAGCAGCCGCGGUAAUACGUAGGUCCCGAGCGUUGUCCGGAUUUAUUGGGCGUAAAGCGAGCGCAGGCGGUUUAAUAAGUCUGAAGUUAAAGGCAGUGGCUUAACCAUUGUUCGCUUUGGAAACUGUUGAACUUGAGUGCAGAAGAGGAGAGUGGAAUUCCAUGUGUAGCGGUGAAAUGCGUAGAUAUAUGGAGGAACACCGGUGGCGAAAGCGGCUCUCUGGUCUGUAACUGACGCUGAGGCUCGAAAGCGUGGGGAGCAAACAGG